GUGGGGAAUAUUGCACAAUGGGCGCAAGCCUGAUGCAGCAACGCCGCGUGAGGGACGACGGCCUUCGGGUUGUAAACCUCUUUUAGCAGGGAAGAAGCGAAAGUGACGGUACCUGCAGAAAAAGCACCGGCUAACUACGUGCCAGCAGCCGCGGUAAUACGUAGGGUGCAAGCGUUGUCCGGAAUUAUUGGGCGUAAAGAGCUCGUAGGCGGUUUGUCGCGUCUGCUGUGAAAACCCGAGGCUCAACCUCGGGCCUGCAGUGGGCACGGGCAGACUAGAGUGCGGUAGGGGAGAUUGGAAUUCCUGGUGUAGCGGUGGAAUGCGCAGAUAUCAGGAGGAACACCGAUGGCGAAGGCAGAUCUCUGGGCCGUAACUGACGCUGAGGAGCGAAAGCGUGGGGAGCGAACAGGAUUAGAAACCCUAGUAGUCC
rnacentral:rRNA from 1 species